UGUGUUUCACUUAUUCCAUCUGGAAAUGAAGCAAGUGUGAUCUACAGAAAGACUCCUUCUGCAGAUCUGACUGAUCUCAGGCUGCAUUAAUAUUUAAAAAAAAUGGAAACAGACAAGGAAAAAGCCUGCUGCCCUAAUUAAUUGAGAUUAGUUUUCUGAGGUUUUGGAGAGUUAAAUCAACUCACCAAGUGAUCUGGAGCUAGUACAAAGGAAGUGGUGAGAAGGGACAGCUAGGAGCAGCAAGAGAUUCCUCUGCAUGCAUCGGAAACCUGAGUGCUCAGUGAUUUAGACCUUAUUUGACAAACGGGUCAAAGAAGAUUGCCGCAAGGCCUGAAGUAAAAAGAGAUGCUCUACUACCCAUAGUCAGUCAGUCUGGACAGCUAGCUGUUACCUAUGGACAUCGUCACAGAGCAGAGAGCUUCGCAAGUGAGGAUUUCAGAAGGGGACUGCACGUACCUCACGGUGCUCCAUCAGGUGACGGCAUGGGGCAAACAGUGACUUUGACAUAAAGAUGAUGGGGCAGGCAUGCCUCUGUCUUUGGAAAGGGCUGGGACUUUGCUUUUUUGCUUUUAAGCUUGCAAAGCGAUGACAAGGAAUAGCAAAUACGGCAGUUGUUUCAGAUAAGGCAGGAACACUAGCAGCAGCGACUGAAGAGGAGCUCAGCAGUCCCGGGAUGAACAGUCAGCUGUGUCGACACAGAAGCUGUGCGUCCUGGGGACUCCCUGUCCCUUCUCAUUUCUCCUCUGUGGCUGGCCACGGUGUUAUAUUUCUCAGGAAUGUUAUGUCCUGGCUUAUACCAACCCAUUAAACCCAGAAUUUGCGAAUGCCUUACAACUCUCAAAACACACAGCCAAAGGCAGCGCUUUCUUUGUGUGCUUUCGCCCCCGGGGGUGCGGGGCAGCACAGUGCGGGCUGGAGCCGUCCCAGCCCUGCUCGUCCCCCGCUGCUCCCCCUGUGCCGCAGCG